GACGAACGCUGGCGGCGUGCUUAACACAUGCCAGUCGAACGGAAAGGCCCUGCUUUUGUGGGGUGCUCGAGUGGCGAACGGGUGAGUAACACGUGAGUAACCUGCCCUUGACUUUGGGAUAACUUCAGGAAACUGGGGCUAAUACCGGAUAGGAGCUCCUGCUGCAUGGUGGGGGUUGGAAAGUUUCGGCGGUUGGGGAUGGACUCGCGGCUUAUCAGCUUGUUGGUGGGGUAGUGGCUUACCAAGGCUUUGACGGGUAGCCGGCCUGAGAGGGUGACCGGCCACAUUGGGACUGAGAUACGGCCCAGACUCCUACGGGAGGCAGCAGUGGGGAAUAUUGCACAAUGGGCGGAAGCCUGAUGCAGCAACGCCGCGUGCGGGAUGACGGCCUUCGGGUUGUAAACCGCUUUCGCCUGUGACGAAGCGUGAGUGACGGUAAUGGGGAAAGAAGCACCGGCGAACACGUG
rnacentral:rRNA from 1 species